rnacentral:rRNA from 1 species
GACGAACGCUGGCGGCGCGCUUAACACAUGCAAGUCGAACGGAAAGGCCUGCUUUCCCUUGUGGAUUGCGGGUACUCGAGUGGCGAACGGGUGAGUAACACGUGAGUGAUCUGCCCCCAACUUGGGUAUAAGCCUGGGAAACCGGGUCUAAUUCCCGAUAGGACUGCAGGGUGGUGCCUGUGGUGGAAAACGAUUUUCUAGUGGUUGGGGAUGAGCUCGCGGCCUAUCAGCUUGUUGGUGGGGUAAUGGCCUACCAAGGCGGCGACGGGUAGCCGGCCUGAGAGGGUGGACGGCCACAUUGGGACUGAGAUACGGCCCAGACUCCUACGGGAGGCAGCAGUGGGGAAUAUUGCACAAUGGGCGGAAGCCUGAUGCAGCGACGCCGCGUGGGGGAUGACGGCCUUCGGGUUGUAAACUCCUUUCGACCGCGAGGAAGCCACCUGGUUGGAAGGGUGGUGACGGUAGUGGUAGAAGAAGCACCGGCUAACUACGUG